rnacentral:rRNA from 1 species
UUGACUGUACAAAGGUAGCAUAAUCAUUAGUCUUUUAAUAGGAGGCUGGUAUGAAAGGUUUAACGAAACAUAAACUGUCUUAUUUAUAAAUUUAUAAUUUAACUUUUAAGUUAAAAGGCUUAAAUUUAUUUGGAGGACGAGAAGACCCUAUAGAGCUUUACAUUAUUUAUUUUUAAUAUUUACUUGUUUUAUAAUUUAAUAUUAAUGCUGAUAUUGUUUUGUUGGGGUGACAAGAAAUAUAUAUUUAACUUUUAUUAUUUAAUUUACAUUAAUUUAUGAAUUUUCGGAUCCAUUAUUAUUGAUCAUUAGAUUAAGUUACCUUAGGGAUAACAGCGUAAUAU